GCUCUGGGCAGCCUGGUCUGGUGGUUGGAGACCCUGCACAUAGCAGUGGGGUUGAAACUGCAUGAUCAUUGUGGUCCUUUUCAACCCAGGCCAUUCUGUGUUUCUAUGAUUCUAUGAUUGUAUGGUGUCCUGUUGGUAACAUCCAGAGUAGAUGCUCAGCAAGCAUAAUUACUUCUGUAAGUAGCUUAAGUUAUGUAUCACUUCUUUCCAUGAAUGUGAAGCUCAUGAGAAUACUCUAUUACCUGUGGCAAUGCAGACAGUCCUUCAUUAAUAAUACAACGACAUUCUGGGUUUUCUGGUCCUGAGAAGGGGCAGUGCAAGCACACUGUCAAAUUACUGCAGGAAUAAAGAUGUUUAUGUAGCUGUUGCAAAAGACUUACAGAAAUUCACUGUAGCAGAGAAUCAAAGUGCUGAACAAAGGAUAAAAGAACUAGCAACAGUGAAGCCAGCUGAAGAACUGCAGUGAGAAUCUGGGGCUGUUCUCUGUCCCGUUGUGGUUGCAGAGAGUUGUAUGCCAGGGCUGGCAUGUCCCAGCAAGGAGCAUCGAGCAUGUCACAGCACCAUUCUGGGAGGAGCUGUAAAGGUGCAGGCUGACACUGUGCUUGUGGAAGUGGAAGUCACAGAAUUCAGGUGCCGAAGAGCUGGUGUCUCCCUGAAUCUCGACGUUAUCUGACCUCAGAUGAAUCUUGAAAUGGUAUCCCUAGGAGCACAAAUGGCAUUCAGAUGCUUCAGCUGAGAAAUUUUUCACACCUUUGGAAAACUUUGCAUCAGAAGAGGAAAGGAUAACUUGUUCUCCAAACUUUACAAGAGUUCCAAACCAAGAUUUUCACGAAACAAGGCAGCGGAAGGAGUGCCUCCUUGAAGAAAAGCAAACUAACAGGAGAGAGGCACAGGAAAACAGAUGAAGACAUUAAGCAACUCUAGAGAGGGCAUAUGUAAAUGUAUUUAUGUCUCAUACAGUUUCAACAAAGCUUUUGAGACAAAGAUGUAUGCUCCUGCAGAUCAUCUGGGCAGCCCACUGUUUUCAUUGGACUUUCCGCAUUCAUGUACCUGCUGGCCAAGUGACGAGGGUAACAUCACAGUUUCCCUUCCACACAACCUCAGUGGAAAAUCAACAGUGAUGAGUGUUAGAACUUUGACCUCAAAAUCAUGUAGAAACCACAAUAAGCUUCCUCUUUUUUUUCUAGCCUGAUCAUCUUUGGGAACAAGACAUGGGAAAUCAUAAUAUGUCUCUUUUUGUCUCUUUGCAUUCUUCUCUUCCCCCUCUUCCUCUCUCUUCCCCCUCCACCUUUUGAACUAGUCGCCCAAUUUCAACAAAAACUUUAUAGCUGAGCAGGAAUAUUCAAGUCUAUAGAGUUUUUACAACUUUUGGGAAGAAAAGUGACCCAGCGUAGACUAUAGAAACCAGACAAGAAAGAAGACUUUUAGAGACCCAAACCAGAAAGAUGGCUUUAACUGAAGUUCAUACCUGGUUUCUCUGCAGAAGUCAAUCAGCCACAAGAAAUGAAGCUAUAAGAAACCAUGAUCCACUCUUUGUGGUGAUCACACAGCAACUUCUUAACUGACCGUAAAUGUUUUGAGAAGUGCUAUUUGUUUUGUUUUUUUUUUAAUCACUGCUCAAUAAAGCUAUUAUAUGUAAUGUGUGUAUGAUUUAUCUCACACACCAAACAUGACACCCAGAUUUGCCACUCUGUCAUCAGAAACAUAAAAUGGCUAACUGUUAAUUUAAAAUGAAUUUGCAUCCCCAGUACUGCUUUUUCCAUAAAGGUGUACAGAAUGAACAUAAAUGAACCACCUGAUAAGUGGCA